UCCCAGGUGGCUCAGUGGUAAAGAACGUGCCUGCAAUGCAGGAGACUCAGGUUCAAUCCCUGGGUUGGGAA
rfam:Ovis aries breed Texel chromosome 11, whole genome shotgun sequence.